CUACGUGCCAGCAGCCGCGGUAAUACGUAGGUGGCAAGCGUUGUCCGGAAUUAUUGGGCGUAAAGCGCGCGCAGGCGGAUCAGUUAGUCUGUCUUAAAAGUUCGGGGCUUAACCCCGUGAUGGGAUGGAAACUGCUGAUCUAGAGUAUCGGAGAGGAAAGUGGAAUUCCUAGUGUAGCGGUGAAAUGCGUAGAUAUUAGGAAGAACGCCAGUGGCGAAGGCGACUUUCUGGACGAAAACUGACGCUGAGGCGCGAAAGCCAGGGGAGCGAACGGGAUUAGAUACCCCGGUAGUCCUGGCCGUAAACGAUGGGUACUAGGUGUAGGAGGUAUCGACCCCUUCUGUGCCGGAGUUAACGCAAUAAGUACCCCGCCUGGGGAGUACGACCGCAAGGUUGAAACUCAAAGGAAUUGACGGGGGCCCGCACAAGCGGUGGAGUAUGUGGUUUAAUUCGACGCAACGCGAAGAACCUUACCAGGUCUUGACAUUGAUGGACAGAACUAGAGAUAG
rnacentral:rRNA from 1 species